CUUGUUUGUUUGGCUGACUAAUAUGUAAGCCUAAAGUACAGUAAGCUGAAUUACAGCUCUUUGGCCUCAGAAUUUUCAGUAACAGAAUUGCUGGUUAGCUACGAUGAAACUUGUAUUAGAAACUUGCAGUUGGUGAUAUUACAUUCUCUCUAUAUAUUUAAAUGAGAGGUUUGACUUCAUCUCAGUUUAGAAAUUUGUUCAAAGCUUAAAAUUUACACACCUACACAAUUACAUGUUUAUAUGGUGCUCAUUUGUUAUCUGAAAGAUAAUGCGGGACUAUAGUAGUGAGAUGGAUCCUACCAGCCACUCUGUUUCACUACAUUUUAGUCAAAAUUGAGUUCAUUCUUCGUAUUCAUUAAUAAAAAUCAUAAAAUAACUUGUACUAGAAGGCCCAAAUCACAGAAUAAAGCUGAAGAGUGGAUUAG
rnacentral:lncRNA from 1 species